rnacentral:lncRNA from 1 species
GUGAGUGGCAGCAGCACGCCAGUGAGGAACUUGUGGCAGCUACGCAAUCGGGUGUAGUAAUUUAUAGUUUUAAAUGAAGGGUUUAUUUCAGGAACUCAGAGUUUUAUUCCCUGUCCUUUAUGACUCAUUAAGUCAGCAGCACUGCUGAUUUGUGCCCAAAGAUAUGCUCUUGGAAGGAAGACCGGUGAGAACCAGAGAUGUUACGCACUGAGAAGGAGUCACUGCAGGCCAGAUCCGCUUUGCUGCAGUAAAUUCUCAGCGCUGGUGCAGAUGAGCAGCCAUUCACUCAACACAGUGUCUGGGCUUGUGAGAAAAGAAGUGACUCAUGGCCAAGGUCAUGCUGUAGUCUGGGAGGACUGCCAGGGAAGGGAGAAAGCUGCACUUGGCCUGGCCUGUGGUGAGUUCACUCCUUGCGUGGGGCGGAAGACACAACCCACCUCAAGAGGAUCGGAGAGCCCUGCGUGGGCUGAAUUGGUUAUCUGGGAGCUGGCAGCCAUGCGCUCCCACUCCUGAGCUGCAAAUAAUGAGUCUGGGAGUAGGAAGUCAGCCUCACAUGGGAUGGCUCCAGAGGUUUUUAGCGCAUGUGG